UCGCAAACUCGAUCACUAGCUCUGCAUGAUGUUGCAGAAGCCAGGAAACAGGUUUGCUAAAGUAAAUGUGGUAAUAGAACCGUAUUAGCCUUAGGUAUCACAUGACUAAGGCUGUUAAUUCUGUACCAUGACAAGA
ensembl:snoRNA SNORA66 Small nucleolar RNA SNORA66